rnacentral:rRNA from 1 species
GACAGAGGGUGCAAACGUUGCUCGGAAUUAUUGGGCGUAAAGCGCGCGCAGGCGGUCGUUCAAGUCGAGUGUGAAAGCCCCCGGCUCAACUGGGGAGGGUCAUUCGAUACUGAUCGACUCGAAGGCAGGAGAGGGAAGUGGAAUUCCCGGUGUAGUGGUGAAAUGCGUAGAUAUCGGGAGGAACACCAGUGGCGAAGGCGACUUCCUGGCCUGUUCUUGACGCUGAGGCGCGAAAGCUAGGGGAGCAAACGGG